rnacentral:rRNA from 1 species
AGUAGUAGUAUACAACAAAACCAAUAUAUAAUGGCGGUCUAACUAAUUUAGAGGAACUCGCUUUAUAAUCGACAAUACCCGAUAAUUCUUCACUUAUUUCAUAAACUCAUAUACCGCCGUUACAGUCUUAUAAUAAUUUCACUUCAAAAUAUUACUCGACAAUAAAAAAUCAGGUCAAGGUGUGGUAAUCUAUAAGAUUAAGUAAGUUACAAUAAAAAAAAAUUAAGAAAAGGCUUCAAAACGAAAAUCAAAAAAAAGAAUUUAUAUGUACAAACAAAUUAAAAAUUAAUAUAGAAAAAUCCUAGUUUAGACGC